rnacentral:hammerhead_ribozyme from 1 species
AUCCAGCUGACGAGUCCCAAACAUGGCGAAAUGCGCGUACUGGAU